rnacentral:tRNA from 1 species
AUUAUUUUGGCAGAUUAGUGCAAUGGAUUUAGAAUCUUUAUAUGUAGUUUAUAUUACAGAUAAUA